AUUAUGCUGAGAUGCAGGCCAUGUUCCAGAACUUACACACCGUAGUCUACCCUAACAUGGCGAAUUUCACUAUGGUUUUAUUUGACAUAGGACUUACCAAGGAACAGAGGAGCACGAAAGAAAGUGUAGAUGUCACGUGGUCACAUUCCCGGGUCAUUUAUUCAAACCAUACAUACAGAACAAUUUGUGUUAUGCCUGGAAACCUUUGAUUCUACUGAUUGUGCCGUGAAGAAAUGGUGUCAUGUUUCCUUCAGUUGUUCAGAGCUAUCAUACAGAGUCUAUUAUGUCAUGGAUGUAAUGGUAGUAGGCUCUGCCAUUUUUAAAGACAAUAAGUCAUGUUGUGGAGACGAAAGGCAGAGCUGCUCCAUGACUUUAUACUUGUUAUGCUGACUGAUGUUUCAAAUUUACUUUCGUACUU